rnacentral:tRNA from 1 species
CGUUAUAUAGCCUGGUGAAGGCAUCGCGGAUUACAGGCGACGAUGCGGGUUCGAGUCCUGCUAGAACGG